GCGGAGGAAAAGAAACCAACAGGGAUUGCCCUAGUAACGGCGAGUGAAGCGGCAACAGCUCAAAUUUGAAAUCUGGCUUCGGCCCGAGUUGUAAUUUGCAGAGGAAGCUUUAGGCGCGGCACCUCCUGAGUCCCCUGGAACGGGGCGCCACAGAGGGUGAGAGCCCCGUAUAGUUGGAUGCCUAGCCUGUGUAAAGCUCCUUCGACGAGUCGAGUAGUUUGGGAAUGCUGCUCAAAAUGGGAGGUAAAUUUCUUCUAAAGCUAAAUACCGGCCAGAGACCGAUAGCGCACAAGUAGAGUGAUCGAAAGAUGAAAAGCACUUUGAAAAGAGGGUUAAAUAGCACGUGAAAUUGUUGAAAGGGAAGCGCUUGUGACCAGACUUGCGCCGGGCUGAUCAUCCGGUGUUCUCACCGGUGCACUCUGCCCGGCUCAGGCCAGCAUCGGUUCUCGCGGGGGGAUAAAGGCCCUGGGAACGUAGCUCCUCCGGGAGUGUUAUAGCCCGGGGCGGAAUGCCCUCGCGGGGACCGAGGUUCGCGCUCUGCAAGGAUGCUGGCGUAAUGGUCAUCAGCGACCCGUCUUGAAACACGGACCAAGGAGUCAAGGUUUUGCGCGAGUGUUUGGGUGUAAAACCCGCACGCGUAAUGAAAGUGAACGUAGGUGAGAGCUUCGGCGCAUCAUCGACCGAUCCUGAUGUUCUCGGAUGGAUUUGAGUAGGAGCGUUAAGCCUUGGACCCGAAAGAUGGUGAACUAUGCUUGGAUAGGGUGAAGCCAGAGGAAACUCUGGUGGAGGCUCGCAGCGGUUCUGACGUGCAAAUCGAUCGUCAAAUCUGAGCAUGGGGGCGAAAGACUAAUCGAACCAUCUAGUAGCUGGUUACCGC
rnacentral:rRNA from 1 species